rnacentral:rRNA from 1 species
CAGCAGCCGCGGGAAUACGAAGGGUGCAAGCGUUACUCGGAAUUACUGGGCGUAAAGCGUGUGUAGGUGGUUGUUUAAGUCUGUCGUGAAAGCCCUGGGCUCAACCUGGGAAUUGCGAUGGAUACUGGGCGACUAGAGUGCGGUAGAGGAUAGUGGAAUUUCCGGUGUAGCAGUGAAAUGCGUAGAGAUCGGAAGGAACAUCUGUGGCGAAGGCGACUAUCUGGGCCAACACUGACACUGAGACACGAAAGCGUGGGGAGCAAACAGGAUUAGAUACCCCGGUAGUCCCUGUCUCUUAUAC